rnacentral:rRNA from 1 species
UACAGAGACCUCAAGCGUUAUCCGGAAUCAUUGGGCGUAAAGCGUACCGAUAGGUGGUUAAGAAAGCCAAAAGUGAAAUCUCCGAGCUCAACUCGGAAUCUGUCUUUUGGAACUUCUCAACUAGAGGGGCAAAGAGGAAGCUGGAACGAACGGUGUAGUAGUGAAAUGCGUUGAUAUCGUUCGGAACACCAAUGGCGAAGGCAGCU